CUUUACCCCGCUGCUAGAUUUAUUUUUUUAGAUGCUAAGGAGUCUGGCAGGUCUAGGGAUGCCUUAGGUAGCGUCUUGCACCCUGGCUUUUCUUUACCCCGCUGCUAGAUUUUGAUGUAAGUUUUAGAUGUUAAGAAUUUCUGUUAGCACAGACAUCUGAGGAAAUGAUAACAACUAAUAAAGCAGAAAUAGUCUAACAUGCUCUACAUCUAAUGUGGACAUUCUGCUAGAUAACAGAAGGAAACCCAAACAGUUUUGACAAGAUUAAACACAGAAUGGAGGCAAAUCAACAAAAACAAAUAAAUAAAAAACACAAAAAGACAGAAAUUAAAUCCUGGUUAAAAGAUCAACCACAAGGAGGCAAACCAAUUCAACGAAACAGCUGGACAUCACUGCUGAGGACAAUGGAGGAGGUCAAACUUAAACCCUAAAGGAGAAAAACAGGAAAGAAUGGAACAGAGACACAGCUUGUGGUGAUCAUCAGUUGGUGUGGUCUCUGGGAUGCUGGUGAGAAGGUAGAGAGAUGACGCUUGGUGGGGCUAAUUGAUUUAGACCAGUUAGAGGCAGAGGACAGGACUGAUGUGAGGAUUUGAGUUAGGAGAAGCACCGACUGUUAGAAACGGCUUUCCGGUGUGACUUGGUCUAGUUCUAGAUGUUCCUCUGGUUAGUUAGUUUUCAGGCCUAGUUGGAGGGAAAAGAACCCUCUGCAGAAAUAUUCUCCAUAUCAUCUAGGCCUGUCCUGACCGCAGUGGAUCUCUUCUGUGUUUUUUGAAUCCCAUGUUGGACCGAGCCUCUCCAAGCUUUGGGCCAUCAGAAGAUGCUGAUGAGAUCUGCAGCGACCAAACCAGAGGAGGAUCGUCUGGGCUGCUGACCUUCACAAAGGACACCGUGGACGUCCAAAAGCAAAACUCCUGUGAGGAACCGGGACAUCCAGGAUGGUGAGGUGCUUUCCAGUCCCCACCUGAGGACGGCACAGAGAAAGACUGGAACAGAAAACACACGGAGGAAAGCAGGUUGAACAGCUAGCAGUGUUCUAGCAGUCGGAUCACAUUGGAACAGAAUCCAUCCACACAUGUUUGGAGGAGCUGAAGAAGAGGACGGAGCACACAGUCCACUAAGCAGGAGAAACAUGGCUCCUCUAUUUGUCUCUCCAACAUUCUGGAGUCUAAAAAACGUUGACGACCUCGCAGCUAAACCAUCAGUCUGCUACACCCAGGAGAAGAAGAUAAGGUCAUCUGCUCCUUGGACCGGUGUCUAUGUGAUUGGCUGUGCUUUCUUGGAUUGAAUUCUGUGAAUGCCAUGAUAAACUGUAUUUAUCUUUACCAUAUUGUAAAUAGGAUCUAACCGGAUGUUUGUGUUUAGAUUUUAUUCUGUGUUUUUUUUUUUUACUUCUGUUACAUGUUUCUGUAUUAAAAUUGUCAUGUUAAUUGCCUUUAGAUGACAUUUGUUGGGACUUGUUUCUAUUUUAAAACUUAUUUAUAUUAAAUCCCCUUACUGGGUCUGGUUCUGUUUAAGUAUGCUUCCUGUCGUUUUAUCUUCAUCUGUUAUUUCUCACUAUAAUAAAGGUUUCAUUGCAGUAAUGUGAACAGGAUCUGUUUGUAUUUUCUGGUUAAGUGUCUUGAAAUAAGUUGUUGUAAACUGA